ensembl:tRNA
GGUCCUGUGGUGUAGUGGUUAUCACGUCUGCUUUACACGCAGAAGAUCGCCGGUUCGAUCCCGGCCAGGACCU